AACCGUAUMUAUCMAUAUGAACGUAUACAAAACGUUGUCGAAAGACGACGUACGGACUGUAUGUGUCGAUGGACGGCUAUCUCAUUGAUUCCGACCGGAGCAUGCAAGCGCUGCGCGUGCAUUGAACACUUCGCGUGUACUCUGUACGGGCUAUCGAGGGAAUUCAUGCGUGAAAUCCAGCGCCACUCUCGUUGUAUUCGUACGCGGGAGUAGUGAGAAAUUCGCCCGAGGCAUCGUGCGCUACCCGUUACAUUCGUGUGCGGGCCGUUGCAGUGCGCCCAGGCGCAUAUUCCGCGUAAACUGCUGGGCGUUUUUCUCUUCGGAGAUGGCACCUUCAGCGUAUGAUGAGCGCUCGCGAAGGCGUCGCUUUAAAUUAAACCGGAUAUUCCGAAUUACGGGGGGGAUUCACGCGAGGUGGACACCCUGGGCGAUCGCCCGUCCGCAGUUGUAAAACCGCGGCUCGGUACCGAUUCGUUUGUGCGCCGUGAUCUUCCGCAUUUGAAAGCGGUCGUAUCACUAUCGGAAUAUUUGAACCACACAUAUAAAUACCUCCCAUAUUGCAAACGAUCCUCAAGCGUAAAGCUUUUGGUGUUGUACUAAUUGUAACUAUGCCAACCAUACAUAUAAUCCGAUUCCGAUAGGAUCUGCGGACUUAUCGGACGGGACUUGUAUAAUAUUUAUAAACACCCAACGCGCAGGUC
rnacentral:misc_RNA from 1 species